UUGUCCUAAAACUUAACCGGAAAACUCUCAAAAUUGAAAUUUUUAUGAAUUAGUACUGGGCGGUCAAAGCUCGGCGUACAAAGAAAUAAAAAAUGUCAUGCAUUUCUG